rnacentral:lncRNA from 1 species
UCCAUUGAAAGGUGGACAUCAGUAGACCUAUUCAUUAUGAGACUUUAGUCAUCCUGGAGCGUCUCCUGUGAUUAGAUCUUUCUUCCUUUGGGCAAAGGGUGGGAAGGAGACUCUUUUCUUCUAUUCUUGCUACGGUGCUUACAAAAUAUUUAUUGGAGAAGAAAUUGAUUCCUUUAUCAUCAGGUUCACGGACUCUUUAUUUUAUUCACCAUGUUUACCUUCUUUGUGAGCUCUCUGAGUUAUUGACAUGGUGGUUUACUUGUGUCUCUAAAACCUCACUGUUUCUUGAUUUAUAGGUUACAUCGUGCCUUUUCUCUUCCACAUGACGGAGAUCUUCAAAGUAAGCAUCUUUCAAAGCAGUGACAAGCAAAAUACAGCUGGAAGAUCAGUAACUCUCUGUUAAGCAGCUUUGCUUGCUGUCAUUGUUGACUGCCAGGGGGUGGUGAUCCAUGUCAGUCACUAAAAUGACACCUUGGCAAGACUGCUGUCUGCUCCUGGAGUUUUUGUGUAUGGAAACAAUUUUAAGGUUCCCAGGCAGGAAACUCAAAAGAGAGGUCAGAGAAGGAUGAGAAUCCUCAUGCUAUUUGGCAUCUUAUUGUAAGACGUGGUGGAAUGUGUUCAGCAAGUAAAUUUGGCAGAAUUGAAGAGUAAUGGAUUGGCAUAUCAAAAUGCAUAUACAAAAAAUUAAUCAAGGCAAACAACUUCAUUCAUAGUGUUACAGUAAACAAGUUUUAGUAUAGGAUUUUAAAAGUCUUAGAUUCAAGUUGUG